AACGAACGCUGGCGGCAGGCCUAACACAUGCAAGUCGAGCGAAGCCUUCGGGCUUAGCGGCGGACGGGUGAGUCACGCGUGGGAACGUGCCCUUUGCUACGGAAUAGCGCAGGGAAACUGGGAGUAAUACCGUAUGUGCCCUUCGAGGGCGAGAUGUAUCGGCAAAGGAUCGGCCCGCGUUGGAUUAGGUAGUUGGGGGGUUAAUGGCCUACCAAGCCGACGAUCCAUAGCUGGUUGGAGAGGAUGAUCAGCCACACUGGGACUGAGACACGGCCCAGAUUCCUACGGGAGGCAGCAGUGGGGAAUCUUAGACAAUGGGGGAAACCCUGAUCUAGCCAGGCCGCGUGAUCGAUGAAGGCCUUAGGGUUGUAAAGAUCUUUCAGUGGGGAAGAUAAUGACUGUACCCACAGAAGAAGCCCCGGCUAACUCCGUGCCAGCCGCCGCAGUAAGAC
rnacentral:rRNA from 1 species